GACGAACCGUGCAAACGUUAUUCGGAAUCACUGGGCAUAAAGGGCGCGUAGGCGGCUCCAAAAGUCAGGGGUGAAAUCCGGCAGCUUAACUGUCGCAGUGCCUUUGAUACUGUGGAGCUAGGGGGAGGUAGGGGUCUGUGGAACUUCCGGUGGAGCGGUGAAAUGCGUUGAUAUCGGAAGGAACGCCGGUGGCGAAAGCGACGGACUGGAUCUCUUCUGACGCUGAGGCGCGAAAGCCAGGGGAGCAAACGGG
rnacentral:rRNA from 1 species